AGCGAGAAGACUUUCAAAAUGGACGGAGAGCAUUCCAUCAUCAAAAUUUGGGCUUUAACAGCAGCAUAGGAGGGAUUUAAUCCCAUUAAGAAAGUCAUGACAAACUCUUGUUCCUGAUAAUCAUUCCACGCCUUUAUGUUUCCGCAGUGACAGGUUGGAGCUGGUUGAAAGGUUUUGAGUUCGUUCUAGAUUGUUUUCAUUCGUGUGUAGUAUGUGUUGAUGCUGAGUGACCCUUGAGCAAGGUUGUUCAUGCCCUGUUUCAGUUGGUAGAUACGCGGUGCAUUGCUCUACUGAUAACGGAGCUGCAAAUCGGUCCAAAUGGAUUGUGCACUUUCAUGGUAUAACAAGCUGUCAGCUAUCUCCUUUGUUACAGCAUUCAGCAACUAAGAAAUCACCAUACUGUUACAACGCGACCAAGCUGCGGCAUGGGAGUCGGUGUUGUUCGGUUGAUCGUAGGUUCCGUCUAUGAAUCCCAAUUUAUUUUUGGCGGUAAGUGUUAUCCUGAUUGCUCUCUCCCAUGUGUUGUAG
rnacentral:lncRNA from 1 species